AAGAACAACACAGUGAUUUAGGCCAGUUUGCCUAGAAUAAUGCAUUACACACUUUGCUACCAACCAUGUUUAAACCCCUUAUAGGUUUUUUUUCUACAUAUGUUAUCCUUUCUUUUUAAUAAUUUAUUUUCAGAUUAAAGCUCUGAAACCUGUAAAUGAGAAAUCCUAAUGAAUUGAUAAUGGCAGCCUUAUUGGUUGUCACCCAGUUUCUGCACAAACAGAAUUGACAAAUGGUUGCGUUUGUAUGUUUUCUCCAUAUUUGUAACAAACAUAUAGCAAAUCACUUUGAUAGAACAACGAAGGUCACUUAUUGGACAUGAUGGAAAGCCUGUCAUAUUACUAUUCAAGACAAGGGAAAGAAUUUCAUAUGUAGAUACUGUAGAUGUGCUUUGGCCUCAUACAUCUUUCAACAAACUGAAAAGAAAAAAAAUAAUUUGUACAUACCUUGGGCGUCAGCACAAUGGCAGAUCCUCCAUUAAUGCCAAUGAUGGGCAUAGAUGUUUGUGCAGAGAUAAAGUCAAG